GACGGAGGGUGCAAGCGUUGUUCGGAAUUACUGGGCGUAAAGGGCGCGUAGGCGGUCUGUUAAGUUCGGUGUGAAAGCCCUCGGCUUACCCGGGGAACUGCGCCGGAAACCGACAGACUCGAGUACCGGAGAGGAGGGUGGAAUUCCUGGUGUAGCGGUGAAAUGCGCAGAUAUCAGGAGGAACACCAAUGGCGAAGGCAGCACUCUGGGACGUGACUGACGCUGAGACGCGAAAGCGUGGGGAGCAAACAGG
rnacentral:rRNA from 1 species